rnacentral:rRNA from 1 species
GAUGAACGCUGGCGGCGUGCUUAACACAUGCAAGUCGAGCGAAGCAUAAGAGAGGAAGUUUUAAAUGGAAUCGAUUAUGACUGAGCGGCGGACGGGUGAGUAACGCGUGGGUAACCUGCCCUAUACAGGGGGAUAACAGUUAGAAAUGACUGCUAAUACCGCAUAAGCGCACGGAGCCGCAUGGCGCUGUGUGAAAAACGAUAGUGGUAUAGGAGGGACCCGCGUCUGAUUAGGUAGUUGGUGGGGUAACGGCCCACCAAGCCGACGAUCAGUAGCCGACCUGAGAGGGUGACCGGCCACAUUGGGACUGAGACACGGCCCAA